rnacentral:rRNA from 1 species
AUGGAAAAAAUGAAGGAUGCGACGGUACCAGAAGGUGAAGAGUCAAAGUCUGUUGUUCAAAUUGUUGAAGAAAUGCCCAAGACCGAAAUCAAGCAAAGCACAUUCCUCAGGAAUGUUGGGCUCCAGUCAUCUAGGAACAACUCCGGCAAAGCAACUGAUGAAGUGGCUGCUCAUGUUCGUGAUCUUGAGCAGAAGCUGGAGAGGUCCGAGCUUCAAGCUGAAGUGAUGCAAGAAGAAUUGGUGGCAAUCAAGAUGAAGGCGGAAGAAUCUGAAGUUGCACGCGACAAGGAACUUGAGCUGCCGCGCAAGAAGUCUCAAGAGCAGGAAGAGAAGUUAGCCCACUUGAUGGCUCUCUUUGGAGCUAAGGUAGUUUGA